AAAAAAAAAAAAAACUAAGCUACAUACGAGGAAUUAAAGAUGGUUGUAGGUAUCCGUGAUGAUGCAUGUUACCCUCUCUCAGAACUUUCAUUAGCUUAAAAAUUCAUUGACGGAAAAUCAGUUUGUUUUGGUUAUUUCUAUUGCAAAAACUGCACAUUGCUUUAACUUCCAAAAAAUACACAAUCUCACCUUUCAGUACUAAGGCAGUGGUUUUUUUGACAUCUGAAAUCUAAGGUGGACAAAAAAUAAGGACAGGA
rnacentral:misc_RNA from 1 species